GUGCUUGCUUCAGCAGCACAUACACUAAAAUUGGAAUGAUACAGAGAUUAGCCUGGCCCCUGUGCGAGGAUGACACACAAAUUCGUGAAGCGCUCCAUAUUUUU